rnacentral:rRNA from 2 species
AAACGACUCUCGGCAACGGAUAUCUCGGCUCUCGCAUCGAUGAAGAACGUAGCGAAAUGCGAUACUUGGUGUGAAUUGCAGAAUCCCGUGAACCAUCGAGUCUUUGAACGCAAGUUGCGCCCGAAGCCACUAGGUCGAGGGCACGUCUGCCUGGGCGUCACG